CCGCGCAGCCGGGGAAGCAGCGGCGUCCUGUACCUGAAAUCCGCUAUAGCAGGGGUGAUGCUGAACAGAGAUCCGCUUCAUUUCAUUGCUGCCUCUGAUAAGUGAUGUUGACGUUUGGGUCUUACGCAACGGAAACCUGUGAACCGUGUCAGGACAGGAAUGUAGCAGCACUAAGCAGGACCUUUCGUGUGCCGUAAGGUCGCCUGGGCUGAGUUAACUGUCAGAGUAACGUUUGGGGUGACGGACCGACGGGAUGCGCGCGG
rnacentral:SRP_RNA from 1 species